UAUUAAAAAUUUCAUCCCUACUAUUAAAAGCUGACGUCACUGAUGGAAUAAUUGAAGAGUUACAAAUAAUGUACUAUGUGUAUCUCAUGCUGACAUACAUGAACCAGUUUUUAACAAUGGGAAUAAAUAGAGCUUUUAGCA
rfam:Gossypium hirsutum cultivar TM-1 chromosome 14, whole genome shotgun sequence